GGGGAGUUAGCUCAGUUGGUAGAGCGCUGCGAUCGCACCGCAGAGGUCAUCGGUUCAACCCCGUUACUCUCCA
rnacentral:tRNA from 1 species